rnacentral:misc_RNA from 1 species
AACGCACCUUGCGCUCCUUGGUAUUCCGAGGAGCAUGCCUGUUUGAGUGUCAUUAAAUUCUCAACCCCAUCGAUUUGUUUCGGUUGUGGGAUUGGAUUGUGGGGGUUUGCUGGCGGACUCUCGUCCGUCGGCUCCUCUGAAAUGUAUUAGCAAAGGUUGAUGUGCGAACCAGUGUCUCGGUGUGAUAAUGAUCAUCGUGCCUGACGUGCAGUGUCCUGUGCUUACAGUCGUCGUAAGACAACAUUUUGAACCUUUGACCUCAAAUCAGGUAGGAUUACCCGCUGAACUUAA